rnacentral:rRNA from 1 species
GACGAACGCUGGCGGCGUGCCUAACACAUGCAAGUCGUACGGUAAGGCGCUUUCGGUGCUACACAAGUGGCGCACGGGGGAGUAACACGUGAAUAAACUUCCCACAACUUUGGGAUAACGCUAGGAAACUGGGGCUAAUACUGGAUAUGGGCCCCUGCUACAUGGUGGGGGUUGGAAAGCUCCGGCGGUUUUGGAUGGACUCGCGGCCUAUCAGCUUGUUGGUGGGGUAGUGGCCUACCAAGGCGGCGACGGGUAGCCGGCCUGAGAGGGUGACCGGCCACACUGGGACUGAGAGACGGCACAGAUUGCUAAGGGAGGCAGCAGUGGGGAAUCUUGCACCAUGGGCGCAAGCCGGAUGAAGCAGGGCCGCGUGUGGGAUGACGGUCUUCGGGUUGAAAAACGCUUUCAGCAGGGACGAAGCUUUUUGUGACGGUACCUGCAGAAGAAGCACCGGCUAACUACGUG